rnacentral:rRNA from 1 species
CAGCCGCCGCGGUAAUACGUAGGUGGCGAGCGUUGUCCGGAAUCAUUGGGCGUAAAGGGAGCGCAGGCGGGCAUGUAAGUCUUUCUUAAAAGUGCGGGGCUCAACCCCGUGAUGGGAAAGAAACUACAUGUCUUGAGUACAGGAGAGGAAAGCGGAAUUCCCAGUGUAGCGGUGAAAUGCGUAGAUAUUAGGAAGAACACCAGUGGCGAAGGCGACUUUCUGGACGAAAACUGACGCUGAGGCGCGAAAGCCAGGGGAGCGAACGGGAUUAGAUACCCCAGUAGUCCCUGUCUCUUAUACC